GACGAACGCUGGCGGCGUGCUUAACACAUGCAAGUCGAACGGUGAAGGGACUGGUUUUGCUGGUCCUGGAUGAGUGGCGAACGGGUGAGUAACACGUGAGUAACCUGCCCCCUUCUUCUGGAUAACCGCAUGAAAGUGUGGCUAAUACGGGAUAUUCUGGGUCUGUCGCAUGGUGGGCCUGGGAAAGAUUGCGCCUUUUUUGGUGUUUUUGGUGGGGGAUGGGCUCGCGGCCUAUCAGCUUGUUGGUGGGUGAUGGCCUACCAAGGCGGUGACGGGUAGCCGGCCUGAGAGGGUGGACGGUCACACUGGGACUGAGACACGGCCCAGACUCCUACGGGAGGCAGCAGUGGGGAAUAGUGCACAAUGGGCGCAAGCCUGAUGCAGCGACGCCGCGUGAGGGAUGGAGGCCUUCGGGUUGUGAACCUCUUUCGCCAGUGAAGCGGGCCUGCCUCUUUUUGUGGGUGGGUUGACGGUAGCUGGAUAAGAAGCGCCGGCUAACUACGUG
rnacentral:rRNA from 1 species